rnacentral:rRNA from 1 species
AUUGAACGCUGGCGGAAUGCUUUACACAUGCAAGUCGAACGGCAGCACGGACUUCGGUCUGGUGGCGAGUGGCGAACGGGUGAGUAAUAUAUCGGAACGUGCCCAGUCGUGGGGGAUAACGUAGCGAAAGUUACGCUAAUACCGCAUACGAUCUGUGGAUGAAAGCGGGGGAUGGCAAGACCUUCCGCGAUUGGAGCGGCCGAUAUCAGAUUAGGUAGUUGGUGGGGUAAAGGCUCACCAAGCCAACGAUCUGUAGCUGGUCUGAGAGGACGACCAGCCACACUGGAACUGAGACACGGUCCAGACUCCUACGGGAGGCAGCAGUGGGGAAUUUUGGACAAUGGACGCAAGUCUGAUCCAGCCAUUCCGCGUGCAGGAUGAAGGCCCUCGGGUUGUAAACUGCUUUUGUACGGAACGAAAAGGUCUCCAUUAAUACUGGGGGCUCAUGACGGUACCGUAAGAAUAAGCACCGGCUAACUACGUGCCAGCAGCCGCGGUAAAAC